GAGUUGAAGUCCACACAUCUUAAAGUUCCCAAAUUGCUAAGAUGGAGAAACAGCGCUCUUGAUGUAUUACACUAUAACACCUGUAAUAGUCCAGUACAUCUAGAGGGCAUCAGGUUGAGAGAGACUUGCAAUUCUUGGGGAUGCUUGUGGGAGCAACUUUCUAAACACUGGAUACCACCUUCCUCCAGUCAUAUGAAAUUAUAUAAGCAGGACCCCAAGAAGCUUCCAUGGCUGGGCCCUGCAUGUCAAGGCAAGCAUGAAAAAACAGGGACAAUUUGAAAGAAAUAGCAGAACACCCAAGCUGGACUCAUAGACUAGGCACAUGUGUCUGGCAGUCAAAGGAAUAAUUGAAAAUGCAGGGACAAACCUAUGGGAGUAGAGUGUGUCCUACUUUCACUGAACAUAGAAGCAAUGAGUUGGGAUGGGCUCCUAUAGUUGACUCUUCUUACCGCUGCAUGCUGUUGUAGCUGUCAAAUUUACCAUUUUUCAAAGGAAUUGUUUUCUCCACCAACCCAAGUCAACAGUAGUAGGCAUUUGUCAUCAUUUUGCAAAAAUGAAAUAAGAUUAUGAAUGAGGCUACUGAUGGUACUGCAACAUAACAUCUCCAAGUUGGUGUUUACAUUUGUGUCUGUAUGUGUGCAUUUGCUUAGGUCACAUACACUUGGCACAAUAAACUUGCUUUCAUUUAACAA